rnacentral:rRNA from 1 species
AUUAUAUUAAUUUAAUAAAAUAUUUAAAAAGUAAUAAUAUUAAAUACUAUAUAAUAACAGAUAUUAAAAAUUUGAAACUAAAUAAGAUAGUUUUAAAAAAAUUUAUUGUAUAUUUAUUAGAAAUAAAAAAAAUUAAAAUUAUUUUCAACUUAACAAACUUAAAUGUUGAUAAUAAUAGUGUUAAAAACUUAAAACUAAUUAAUAAGGAGUUGGUAUUGUUUUUAAUGUAUAUAAAUUUCUUAUAAAGGAUAUAUUUUGUAAUGAUGUAAAUAAAUUAGUAUAGUUUAAUAAAUAUUAAACUAGAAGUAUUAUAAUACUACUUAUAUUACUUAUAAAUAUUUUAAUAUGAUAGAGUAAAGUACUGUGAAGGAAAGAUGAAAAGAAUUUUUGUAUAAAUUUUAAAAGAUCUUGAAAUUUAAUGGUAUAUCAGUUUUAGCUUAUUGUUAAAACGUACCUUUUGCAUAAUGGACUAACGAGUUUAUAUUAAUAGCGAGUAAAGGUGACUAAUUACGUAUUGAAAAAAAAUUAGUUAUUAAUAUAAGACCCGAAGCUAAGUGAUCUAACUAUUAUUAAGUUGAAAAUUUAAUAAAUUGAAGGACUGAACCCGUAAAUGUUGCAAAAUUUUGGGAUAAAUAAUAGUUAGGGGUGAAAGGCUAAUCAAACUUAGUUAUAGCUGGUUUUCUAUGAAAUCUAUUUUAGUAGAGAUGUUAAUUAACGUUUAUUUUAGGUAUAAUUAUUUUUUUUGCAAAUUAUUUAAAAUAAUUUAAUAAAGAAAAUUUUUUAAUUAAAAUAAAUAUUAUUAAUAAACAGAUUAAUAGCGCUAAGGUUUUUAAUCGAGAGGGAAACAGCCCAGAUUAUAUGUUAAGGUUUUUAAAAUUGUUUAAUUUGUAAGGUUAUAAGAAUAUAUAUUAACUAAAAAGUAAGCUUGGAAGCAGCUAUCUUUUAAAGAAAGCGUAAAAGUUCAUUAGUUAAUUUAAUAUUGUAUAUUUAUAUUAGUAUUCUUAUAACUAAAAAUGUAUAGAAAAUAUAACAAUUACCGAAACAAUAAAUUUUAGAUGGUAAUAGAAUUUAAUGUAUAUUUAUAUUAAAAUUGAUAAAUUUUAAUUUGAUAUCAUUAGUAAUAAUGUUAGUAUUAGUAGUAGAUAUAAUGUGCAAAUCAUUAUUGCUUUAUGAGUUAGAGUUGCUUUACUAAGAUAAUCUAAUAAAGUGUAAUACUUCCCUAAAAAAUAAAAAAUAUUUUUUAUUUAAUGGCUAUAUUAAUUUUUAAAAUUAAGCAUAUUUAAUUAGUUAUUUUUUCUUAUUAAAUAUGUUUAUUUUAUCUAGAAAAAAAUUAAUAAAUUAAAGUAUUAAUUCUAACACAGGUAUUCUAGUUGAAUAAAUGAAAGCAAAAAGAUUAAUAAUAUUGAAGGAACUCGGCAAAUUAACUUUGUAACUUCGGGAUAAAAAGGACUAAAUGUAAUAAAAAAGAAGGGGUGGCGACUGUUUAUUAAAAACAUAAGAUUUUGCUAAAUUUUAUAAAAUGAUGUAUAAGAUCUGACACCUGCCCAAUGCUGCAAGAUGAAAUAAAAUAGUUAUGCUGUUUUUAUAAAUCCCAGUGAAUGGCGGCCGUAACCCUGACGGUCCUAAGGUAGCGAAAUUCCUUGACGGGUAAGUUCCGUCCUGCAUGAAUGGUGUAACGACUGCCCCGCUGUCUCCAAUAUUAUUCUUACGAAAUUGAAUUAGUUGUGAAGAUGCAAUUAUUUUAUAGUUAGACGGGAAGACCCUAUGCACCUUUACUAUAACCUGUAUUUAAAUUUUGAUUUUUUUAGCCUAGUAAUGUAGGAAAUUUAUAUUAGAAAUGGAAAACUACUCUAAAAAAAUUAAAAUUUUAAUUAUAUAAUAAUAUAUAAAUAUAAUAAAUAUUGGUUGGUAGUUUGGCUGGGGCGGCCACCUCCUAAAAAGUAACGGAGGUGUAUAUAUAUUUUUAAAUUAAAGUAUAAAAUAUUUUUAUGAAAUGGAAUAAUUUUUUAAGAAUUGAUUAAUAUACAAACAAGUAUAUUAAGGAUUAACGUCUAUUAUAUUGACCCGGUAUAUUUUAGUAGAAAAAUUAUCGAGUAACGAAUAAAAGGUACGCUAGGGAUAACAGGCUAAUGAAUUUUGAGAGUUCUUAUUGAUAAAUUCGUUUGGCACCUCGAUGUCGGCUUAUCACAUCCUAGUAAUGUAUAAGUUAUUAAGGGUUCGGCUGUUCGCCGAUUAAAGUGGUACAUGAGCUGGGUUUAGAACGUCGUGAGACAGUUUGGUCCCUAUCUGCUAUAAAUCAUAGAAAAUAAAUAAUAGUUGACUCUAGUACGAGAGGACCGAGUAAAGUUAAUCAAUGGUGAUAAAUUACUAAGUAAUAUUAGUAUGUUUAUAAGCUACAUUAAUGUUUGGUAAUGUAAAUUUAAAAGUAAAAAACAUAACCUAAAUUAUUUUAUUUUCUAAUAAUAAGUUUUUAGACUAAAAACUUUAUAUUUAUGUUAUUUAGAAAUAUUAGUAAUAAUAUAUAAAUAAUAAAUAUAAUUAUUAAUUAUUAAUACUGUUUAGUUUU